rnacentral:tRNA from 1 species
GUCCCCGUCGACUAGCGGCCUAGGUCGCCACCCUCUCAAGGUGGAAACGGCGGUUCAAAUCCGCUCGGGGAUG